rnacentral:rRNA from 1 species
GACGAACGCUGGCGGCGUGCUUAACACAUGCAAGUCGAGCGGUAAGGCCCUUUCGGGGGUACACGAGCGGCGAACGGGUGAGUAACACGUGGGUGACCUGCCCUCAGCUCUGGGAUAAGCCCGGGAAACUGGGUCUAAUACCGGAUAUGACUCCAUGACGCAUGUUGUGGGGUGGAAAGCCUUGUGCGGCUGAGGAUGGGCCCGCGGCCUAUCAGCUUGUUGGUGGGGUGAUGGCCACCAAGGCGACGACGGGCAGCCGGCCUGAGAGGGCGACCGGCCACACUGGGACUGAGAUACGGCCCAGACUCCUACGGGAGGCAGCAGUGGGGAAUCUUGCGCAAUGGGCGAAAGCCCGACGCAGCGACGCCGCGUGAGGGAUGACGGCCUGU